AGGCCAAUAUAACCCUUCGUGAACCUUCUCCUUUGGAAAAUAUUAACAAACUCAUGCUUAAGAUUUGAUUUUGUUUUUAACAAACAAUUGUUGUUUACAGUAUUUGAGACAUAGUUCUUUAAUAUACUAGAUGUUUGUGAACUUUAUCUUGUUCUCUGUUGAGAUUAUAUAAAUCUGAAAAGUUUAAGUGAAUAUAUUUCCCAUUCAAUCACAUUCCCUUAUGUGAGAUGUAUCUCAAUUUGUUAGUUUAUCCCCCCUUUGGUAUUAUAUUUUUGCAGUUUUACAACAUAAAAAAACAAAGCAACUUUUAAGUUAAAGGACAGCAAUACAAUCACAAUUUUUUUUUAGAUAGUGUUUAAAACAUAGUUUGACACAUACUUUGCUUCCUGUUCACCCACCCUUUUUCGUUUGAAAUUUUAGAAUUUUUUAUUUAAAAGUUGUUGUCUCCCUUUGUGCAGUUUGACUCAACUGUUGAUAUUGCUAUACAUGAUGAUGUAUACUGGAUUGUCAUACAUAAAUUUAUAAUCAAUUAAACAGCAUUAUUUUCUAUUAUUGUGAAGGGCUGUCAUAAAUUUUACUUGCACAGAGGUAAGGAAUUUAAAGUUUGAUUUUAAUUGGUGCAAAAUUUACAAUUUCAUUUUCAUUGUACAUUUUUACUCAUCUAAUUCACAGAACUGAACAAUGUAAAUAAAAUAUUUAUUGUUUA
rnacentral:lncRNA from 1 species